CGUCAGUGCCGUACGUGUGCUCCUGGUCUGUCCAUCAGUGCCACAUGCAUGUUCCAUACGCACUCAGCAGUGUCACAUGUGUGCUCUUCUUCUGUCUGUUGGUGUCAUAUGUGUUCCUUGUCUGUCCAUCAAUGCCACAUAUGUGCUCCUGCUCUGUCCAUUAGUGCCACAUCUGUGCUCCAUGCUCAGUUAACAGUGCCACGUUUCUGCUUCUCGUCUCUGUUGGUGCCACCACACCAGUUCCUUGUCUGUCCAUCACUGCCACACAUGUGGUCUCAAGUCUGUCCUUCAGUGCCACAUGUGUGUUCCAUCUGUCCAUCUGUCCCAUAGCUGUGCUCCCUGUCCAUCAGUGACCUGCAUGCUCCCAGUCUGUCCAUCACUGCCAUACCUGUGUUUUCUGUCUGUCCAUCAAUGCCAUACGUGUGGUCCCACAUGUCUGCCCAUUGGUGCCACACAUGUGCUCCAUGCCCACCUGGCAGUGCCACACACUGGCUCCAUCCCAAGUGAGGGGCACAGUAGGGGUCCAUGCCAGGGCUGCCUGCAUGGUCAGCAGUUGUAGGGCUGGCAGAAGGAUGUAGGAGCAGGAGCAGGGAGUCUGUUGGAACCUGGAAGGGGAAUUUGAUGUGUCAGGGGGUUCUCUGAGGCCAGUGCUGGAGGUGCUGGGUGUGGCAUCAGAGCAGCGAGGGCACAGCCAGCAGCAGUGCCAUGUGCCAAGGCUGGAGAUAGGAGAAGAUGAGAGCACUUGAUGGCUGAAGAGCAAUUUUCUUCACUGUCCCUUGCCCUGUGCCAGUCACAUGGUGCCCAUCCAAAAGAUGUUGAGGUGAGAAUGGAAUGGUGCAGGAGCUGAGCCAUGGGCUGGCCAUGGUGAAACAGGAGAUGUCCAUGACACUGGAGCAUUGGCAUUGCUUGUUGCAAUGUGCCAGGGUAGAUCAUGUUGACUGUCCAUAUCCCACUGAAUGUGUGGACAACUCUCAAAAAACUUUAAGUGCACCAUCCAGUUUUCUCUGGGCCCAACUUGGUGCCAUUGGAGAGGGACCUGGGCAGCCCAGAGGGUUUUCUGUGUUGUGGAUUUUCAACCCCAGGCACGUUGUGCAGGAUGCCUACAGGAACUCACUGGUGUGCUGCAGUAUUUCUGAUGACCACUACAAACAGGAUGGACAUCCUCUGGAGCCUCAGCAGCCAUGGAAGCGUGGCUUUUUCCAGAGGUGGCUGUGAGGAGCAGUGAGUGGAUGGAAAUGGAAGAGAAGAAAAGGAUGUUCUGCAGAAUUUGUGUUCAGUGGACAACUUCCUUGCAAUGAACCUGUGGAUAAAGUCAGGCUCAGCUCUCAACCUGCUCUAGCCCCCAGUCUAUUUGGGCAUACACUUGUCCCAAACAAAGCAGUGACUGGCUGAGCUGUUGUUCAGAGCUGGCUGGCACAGGGGAGCCUAUGGGUGAUGCCAUGAGAACUUUAAUCAGCAUUGUGAGGGAUGUGGGGACCAUUGGGUGGUCAGGAGAGCCAAGGUAAAUCCCAUUUGUGGAGUCCAACCACUUUGGAGGAAAUGUUGAGCAAGGAAGGGAGUAAAAGAACAUUUUGCUUCUGCUGAGGAGUUGGUCCACCCAGAAGUGAUGCUGCAUUUUUCACCAUGACCAGACUUUCUCACUGAGGUCACCACUGAAUUCCCCACCUUGCUGUUGAGCUGCUGAGGUGCAAAGACAAUGUCCUCUGCCAGCACCACAGGGGCAAAAGUCUCCUCCUACCUCAGCCCAACAUUUGGAAGGUUUGGGGUCACUUACAAAGCAAUGCAGAGGGUCCCUCUCUGGUGAGCAUGGACAUGAGUUUCCCCAGUUUGUGGAUGCAAGGCCAGUCACACCAAGAACUGAUGUCCUCUGAGUGAGGAUUCAGGGCAGACCAUUCCCACCUGGCCUGAAGGAUCAGAUCAGUGUUUUAGAUCAAAUCCAGCCUGGAUUCAAUGAGGGUUUAACUUGCACUGCAUGAGCAGUCUCAUGACACUCCAGAUUAGAAUGCAUGAUGUUGAGGCUCUCUUGUCCUUAAAAGUAGGGGAAGAAGAAAGUGGAAUUGUUUGGUGGCACUGGACCUCCAGCUGUUGGUUCAGGCUGGCAGGUACUGGGUGUGUUCAGCACAGGGUUUCUGCUGAUGGCUUUUUUAUAGACAAAUGUGGUGAACUCCAGGUCCAUUGCUAUUUAUACUGCAUUAAAAAAAAAUAGUUGGAUUUGGGUUUUAUCUCAGCACUCUGCUGCCCUUUCUUCUUUUAGGUGCCUUUCUAAUUUCUUACAAGUUGUGUUUUGUUCUAAAUAAAUUUUUGGUCUUCUGACAAAAAUACUCAGCUGGACCAGGAAUUGGACAUUCACAGAGCAAAGCAGUUGGGACUUACUGAAGUCUGAACAACAUACAAGAUGGGAAGAAAUCCUGCCAUGCUGCCAGAGAUGUCCCAUGAAAUAUUCCAGUGAUCAUAGAAACAUGCAAUGGUUUGGGUUGGAAGGGACCUUAAAGACCAUCUUGUACCAACACCUUGCCCUGGGCAGGGGCACCUUCCACUAGACCAGGUUGCUCCAAGCCCUGUCCAGCCUGGCCUUGGACACCUGGUCUUGCUGGUCAGCAUCUGGACUCGUGCUUGAGUAGAGCCAAAACUGGAACUAUUUACUGGCUGCCCCUGAGAGCUGCUGGGAGGAUCAGAGCCAGGCAGAGGGGUGGGCACGACAGCACCCAACCAUCCUUAGACAUCAUUGAGUGCCAAGCCACACAGAGGGAACUCAGGCGUUAAUAACCACCCCUUCUGCUGGCAUCCAGGAGUGCUUCCUUGGGGAGGGACAGGGAAUAUUGAGCUACUUAUGGCAUCACCACAGAUGAUGGUUUGGCACUGGUAACUUUGCAUUCACAGCUGGACAGCCAGUGGUACCUGGGUGUCUCAGCUGUCUCUACAGUCAGUGUGAGACCAUGGGCACCCACAGAAACCAUUCAUGCCCAUCCUCUGAGCACUCCCUGUGGAGUGAGAUUGAUUGCUCACUGGAACUGCCUUAUUCUUCCCACCAAACACAAAGGGAGAUGUCUCUGUCUGUAUCUGAGAUGCUCACCUGCCCAAGGCUGGGUGGGAAAUCUGUGAUCCACCAAGGGGACACCUGUGAUCCACCAGCUGGGUAGCUGUGAUCCACCAGCAGGAUGGAAAAGGGAAGUGGUCCCAAGUUGUCUUGGGAGACUCAUUUCAAGGGAGGCACAGAGAAGUAUCAGGGCUCUGGCAACACUUUGGACAGCCACCUGGUUCUGGGGAGCCACACUGGGAGAAUUUAGUCUAAAACUAGUGCAGGAAGAGUUUGCUGGAUUGUUCAGGAGAGAGGAGAGUGUCUUACAGAGAUGACUCAGCUUCCUGAUCUCUGAGAAAUGGAUGCUGAGAGAAGACACAUUUGUGGAAAACCAGAGAUAGACACCAGGGAGGGACAUGGGCUAAGCCCUGGCACCACCUUAGGGCAAGAUGAGUAAGAAUGAACAGACCAUGAACAUCCCUGUGUCUGAAACAGGGAGAUGCUGACCAAGCAUUGGAGCCAUCAGGGUCCACAGGAGUGACCUGUGACCUGGUGGCUGUGAAAAAGAGCUUGGUCAGGUUCUGGGUGACAUGGCCCAGCAUGGCUGCCUCUCACAGUGGGCACUGGGCACUGCCAGGGGUCCCAUCAGGGUCUCUGUGCCCAAAGCGAGGAAUCUGAUUUAAUUCUCUUGUAGCUUUUGCUAACUCUGAGCCUAAACAAUGAGGUUUCCCCAAGUAGAAUUAUUCUUGACUUUAAUCAAAACCCAAUUUAGAUCCAGGUCAGAUAAUAAGUCAAAGCAGCUCAGGGAAGUCAGCAAGGAGUGUGUAUUCCUUCUGGAGCCUCUUGGAUUUCUGUCUGUAUCACAGCACCAAACAUCAUUUGGUCAGACCUUCUGCUUGGGAGAGGCCUGGGACUGAGAAACAGAGCAGCCAGAGUCACAGUUUGGGAGGAGAUUUGUGGAAAUAAUGGACUUUUUUCCCACCUUCUUAUUGAGUCUCCAGCGUGCCUUCAGCAGGCUGGGAAUCCAAGCACGUGGCCACUGGAUUGAUGUGCUUGGGGGAAGAGCCACAGAAGGAGUGGGGUAGCCUGGCGCCGUGGGGAAGAACUGAAAUACCCAGCAGCUGCCAGAGCUGUGUGGGAGCCUGGGCAGGAACAGCCAGGGAGCUGCAGAGCAGGGCUGAGCUCCAUUCCCAGAGCUGCGUGGGGAAGGCUGAUGGCACCUGCCCACAUCCUCUGUGACUGCACAUGAUGCCACGUCUCCCUCGGUUUCAAGACCAGCAAAUUCACCCUUCCCUGCUUUUUCUCUUCAGGAGAAAGAAGGGAAAAAAAAAAAAAACCCAACCAGGAGACCACAGAUUUGCAGGCUGGGCUGUGCUAAGGCGGCACAAGCUGUCAGCAGGCACUGGGAGCAGCCAGGAGGAGCUGGGGUGCCCUCAGCAAGCUGGAGAUCUCAUUGUCUGCAUGGCAGAGGACAAGGGGGAAGGAAUUUGAACCAAAAAUAGUCUAACAGUUUAAGAAGUAAGAGUGUUCCUGUGACCUCUCACAGCUGUGUUGGGUUAGCAGUUGGACUCGAUGAUCUUAGAGGUCUUUUCUGUCCUUUGCAGCUCUGUGGUUCCUUGAUUCUCUGAUUCUGUGCUGGGGGGUCUGUCAUCCUCCACCAGCCCAGAGCAGGGUCCUGUCCAUUUUUCCAGGUGUGAUCUGUUACUCCAGGCACAUCUGCUCAGGCUGUCCUACCCAGCCCCUUCUCCCUCCUUUGAAAUCCUCACCGUGGGUGCACUCCAGCAGCAUCUGCAGCUGCAAACAUCUGGAUGGGGCUUUCCAAUGAGCCUGCUCUGAAAUCAGGGCAUUGCUGUGCUUUCUGAGGAAUCCCUGCUGCUUCUGCAGGACCCCUGGGCACAGCUGGCACAGGAGGGGAAACCUGGGGUGGGCAGCUCUGAUCCUUCUGGAACACCUACCCGUGGGGGUCUGGCCUUUACCUUACAACACUUGAAUGCCAAUGCUGGAAGGAAUUUCUGGCAGGUGGAGAAGACACCUUGUGCCUGGAGAGUGCUGGAAAAGCUGGGUUUACAUUUUUGGUGUGUUGGGGGACACUGUGGUGACAUUUCUGGGUGAGAUUUAAUGGACUCAGGCUGAACCCUGGGAGCUGGUAGAGUAGCAGGAUAAAGAAAUGCCAGCUAUUCCUCAGUCUGGCUGCAUCCCACCUCUGAAUGCUUCAAAGGCUUUGACCCAGCUGUUAACUCAGGAGUGGGCACUGGUCCAUGUGGCUCAUCCAUCCUCCUGCCUAGCUGGGUGCCCAGCAGGGUCUGUGCUGAGGGCACUGUGUGGCUGUUGAUGGCAGAGCUGCUGUGCCUGUCCUUGAGCAAGCUCCUGGUGCCAUCCAUCCCUCUCCAAAGGCUGGAUACCAGCAGAGCUGAAAAGCCUCACCUGCAGCAGCAUCACCCCCAGGAGAUGAUGAGCUUCAGCCAGGCUACCUCCAUGUGGGACAGGAGACAGCAGAGCCCUCCCAGAGCCAUUCCCCAUCCCACGGGAUGCUGCUGAUUCUCAUCCAACUUUCUGUGUCAGGCAGCACUGGGGCAAAUUCUCCUGGAUUAAUUUGGAGACUGUGUGAUUGGGUUUUUGCCUGAUUUCCUCAGGGAUGUCCCAGGUGUGGGAUGGUCCCUGGAUCAAGUGGAUUCUGUGCCAUCCUAGGGCUGAACGGGUUAAUUUUAGUGCUUCCCUCCCCAGCUCGCUGCGGACUCUGGCUGGGACAGAACAUCUGUCUGUUGCUAUGGCUGCAGUACACUUGAAGGGGAUGACUGGAUAAUUAUUGCAAACAUCCAUCGUGCCUGGUGUGCUCCCGGACCCUCCCUGCCCCAGCCAGGGCAGCGGCCGCUGCUCGGGCCCAACUUCCCUCGCAGGGACCCUGCCGAGGAGCGAAGCCCAAGUGGAGCUGGGACCAGGAUGAGGGCAGACCUCCACAGGCACUGGUCAGCAAACAGCCCCACAGCUGGGACCCUCUGCCACGCUCACUUUAACUCUGCAGGGAUCCAGUGCUUUGGAUCUGCAGAGCAGCUGUCAACCACUCAUUGGUGUGGAGCAUUCCCAGAGGAUCCAUAGUUAAGGUAGAGAAGAUGGAGCCAGAUCAUGGGAGCAUGGAUAGGUAGGGAUGGAGCCAGAUUGUGAGACACUCCAUCAGUCAGUGCUGCCUCUUUAAAGUAGGAAGGAGGGUGGCACAGAGAUGGAGAGAUCUGAGGGCUACUCCUGGGUCCUGUCUGAUCCUUAUCAUCCCAACAUUUUUGUGUAUGAUUCAACAAAGUCCUUUGCUUGCACAACUUACUUGAUUCUCAUCUCUGUGACUCAGGUGCAAAUGAUCUGCUCACAUUUGCAGUGAGAGAAUUGAGCCCUGUGGCUACAAAACCUCAAACACAAAAGAGAACCUGACUUUGAUUCAACCUGGAGGACAGGACCAGGUGCUUCACUUUUGGAGGCCCUUGUAGAGGGAAUGGGGUGAAUGAGGGUGGCAGCUGGGUAGGUGCCACAUGAGCCCUGUGACCUGCUCCCAGGCACAGACAAGGCUGGCAUCUGCUUGCCACACAUGCAGAA